rnacentral:rRNA from 1 species
CAGGACGAACGCUGGCGGCAUGCUUAACACAUGCAAGUCGAACGAGAAUCUGCGGAUCGAGGAUUCGUCCAAGUGAAGCAGAGGACAGUGGCGGACGGGUGAGUAACGCGUGAGGAACCUGCCUUUCAGAGGGGACAACAGUUGGAAACGACUGCUAAUACCGCAUAACGCGUAGAGGUCGCAUGGCCUUUACGCCAAAGAUUUAUCGCUGAAAGAUGGCCUCGCGUCUGAUUAGCUAGUUGGUGAGGUAACGGCCCACCAAGGCGACGAUCAGUAGCCGGACUGAGAGGUUGAACGGCCACAUUGGGACUGAGAUACGGCCCAGACUCCUACGGGAGGCAGCAGUGGGGAAUAUUGGGCAAUGGGGGAAACCCUGACCCAGCAACGCCGCGUGAGGGAAGAAGGCCUUCGGGUUGUAAACCUCUGUCCUUGGUGACGAAGACAGUGACGGUAGCCAAGGAGGAAGCCCCGGCUAACUACGUG